rnacentral:rRNA from 1 species
GACGAACGCUGGCGGCGUGCCUAAUACAUGCAAGUAGAACGCUGAAGAGAGGAGCUUACUCUUCUUGGAUGAGUUGCGAACGGGUGAGUAACGCGUAGGUAACCUGCCUUGUAGCGGGGGAUAACUAUUGGAAACGAUAGCUAAUACCGCAUAACAAUGGAUGACACAUGUCAUUUAUUUGAAAGGGGCAAUUGCUCCACUACAAGAUGGACCUGCGUUGUAUUAGCUAGUAGGUGAGGUAAUGGCUCACCUAGGCGACGAUACAUAGCCGACCUGAGAGGGUGAUCGGCCACACUGGGACUGAGACACGGCCCAGACUCCUACGGGAGGCAGCAGUAGGGAAUCUUCGGCAAUGGGGGCAACCCUGACCGAGCAACGCCGCGUGAGUGAAGAAGGUUUUCGGAUCGUAAAGCUCUGUUGUAAGUCAAGAACGUGUGUGAGAGUGGAAAGUUCACACUGUGACGGUAGCUUACCAGAAAGGGACGGCUAACUACGUG